GGAGAAGAAGCCCCGGCUAACUUCGUGCCAGCAGCCGCGGUAAUACGAAGGGGGCUAGCGUUGUUCGGAAUUACUGGGCGUAAAGCGCACGUAGGCGGAUAUUUAAGUCAGGGGUGAAAUCCCAGAGCUCAACUCUGGAACUGCCUUUGAUACUGGGUAUCUUGAGUAUGGAAGAGGUAAGUGGAAUUCCGAGUGUAGAGGUGAAAUUCGUAGAUAUUCGGAGGAACACCAGUGGCGAAGGCGGCUUACUGGUCCAUUACUGACGCUGAGGUGCGAAAGCGUGGGGAGCAAACAGGAUUAGAU
rnacentral:rRNA from 1 species